rnacentral:rRNA from 1 species
UGUGGUUUAAUUCGAUGAUACGCGAGGAACCUUACCAGGGCUUAAAUGCAGGCUGCAUGGGGUAGAGAUACCCCUUUCUUCGGACCGCCUGCAAGGUGCUGCAUGGUUGUCGUCAGCUCGUGCCGUGAGGUGUCAGGUUAAGUCCUAUAACGAGCGCAACCCCUACCGUUAGUUGCCAGCAUGUCAAGAUGGGGACUCUAACGGGACUGCCGGUGCAAACCGUGAGGAAGGUGGGGACGACGUCAAAUCAUCACGGCCCUUACGUCCUGGGCUACACACGUGCUACAAUGGCCGGUACAGAGGGAAGCCACCCCGCAAGGGGGCGCGGAUCUACAAAACCGGUCACAGUUCGGAUCGGGGUCUGCAACUCGACCCCGUGAAGCUGGAAUCGCUAGUAAUCGUAGAUCAGCAUGCUACGGUGAAUACGUUCCCGGGUCUUGUACACACCGCCCGUCACACCACGAGAGUUUGUAACACCCGAAGCCGGUGGAGUAACCAUUUGGAGCUAGCCGUCGAAGGUGGGACAAAUGAUUGGGGUGAAGUCGUAACAAGGUAGCCGUA